GAUGAACGCUGGCGGCGUGCUUAACACAUGCAAGUCGAACGAUGAUGCCCAGCUUGCUGGGUGGAUUAGUGGCGAACGGGUGAGUAACACGUGAGUAACCUGCCCUUGACUCUGGGAUAAGCCUGGGAAACUGGGUCUAAUACCGGAUACGACCAUAUGGCGCAUGUCAUGGUGGUGGAAAGCUUUUGUGGUUUUGGAUGGACUCGCGGCCUAUCAGCUUGUUGGUGGGGUAAUGGCCUACCAAGGCGACGACGGGUAGCCGGCCUGAGAGGGUGACCGGCCACACUGGAACUGGGACACGGCCCAGCCUCCUACGGGAGGCAGCAGUGGGGAAUAGUACACAAUGGGCGCAAGCCUGAUGCAGCGACGCCGCGUGAGGGAUGGCGGCCUUCGGGUUGGAGACCUCUUUCAGUAGGGAAGAAGCGAAAGUGACGGUACCUGCAGAAGAAGCGCCGGCUAACUACGUG
rnacentral:rRNA from 1 species